rnacentral:tRNA from 1 species
GCCUAGUUAGCUUAGUUGGUAGUGCGUCUGCCUUGUAAGCACUAGGCCGCGGGUUCGAUUCCUGCCCGAGGCG